rnacentral:rRNA from 1 species
GGGAACUUGGGUAGCCUGAUCAUGCAGUCGAGCGAGUCGAUGGGAGCUUGCUCCCUGAGAUUAGCGGCGGACGGGUGAGUAACACGUGGGCAACCUGCCUAUAAGACUGGGAUAACUUCCGGAAACCGGAGCUAAUACCGGAUACGUUCUUUUCUCGCAUGAGAGAAGAUGGAAAGACGGUUUACGCUGUCACUUAUAGAUGGGCCCGCGGCGCAUUAGCUAGUUGGUGAGGUAAUGGCUCACCAAGGCGACGAUGCGUAGCCGACCUGAGAGGGUGAUCGGCCACACUGGGACUGAUAGCCCUGCCCAGACUCAUACGGGGGACAGCGGUAGGAUAUCUUCCGCGAUGGACGAAAGUCCGACGGAGCAACGCCCUGUGAACGAGGACGGCCUUCGGUUCGUCAGGCUCUGAUGGUAGGGAACGAACGAGUACGAGAGUUACUGCUAGUACCUGAACGGUAGCUAACCAGAAAGCCACGCCUCACUACGUGUCAGCAGCAGCGGAUAAUACGUACGCGGCAAAGCGUUGUCCUGUAAUUAUUGCGCGUAAAGCGCGCGCAGGUGGUUUCCGUAAGUCUGAUGUGAAAGCACACCGUCUCAACCAUGGAGGGCUCAUUUGAAACUGGGGAACUUGAGUGCAGAAGAGGGAAAGUGGAAGUUCGAAGUGUAGCGGUGAACUGCGUAGAGAGUUGAGAGGAACACCAGUGAGGAAAGCGACUUUAUGGUCUGUAACUGACACUGAGGCGCGAAAGCGUGUGGAGCAAACAGGAUUAGAUACCCUGGGUAGUCCACGCCGUAUACGAUGAGUGCUAAGUGUUAGAGCGUUUCCGCCCUUUAGUGCUGCAGCUUACGCAUUAAGCACUCCGCCUUGGGGAGUACGGCCGCAAGGCUGAAACUCAACCCAAUUGACGAGGAGCUCGCACAAGCGGGUGGAGCAUGUGGCUUUAAGUUGGAAGCAACGCGUAGACCGUUACCUAGGUCUUGACAUCCCUCUGACCACCCAUAAACAUAGGGCUAUUGCCCCUUCUGGCGGGACAGAGUGACAGGUGGUGGGAUGAUUGUCCGUCAGGCUCCCGUCGUGAGAUGUGGGGUUUAGUCCCGCCCACGAGCGCAACCGCACAUCCUAGAGGCCAUCAUUCAGUUGGGCAUCUCCAACGUGACUGCAGGUGUCCAUCGGGACGAAUUGCAUAGGAUGACGUCCACUCAUCAUGCCCCCCUUAUGUACCUGGCAGACACGCCGAUCACACUGUAUGGUACAAAGGGCUGCAAACCUGCGAAGGUAAGCGAAUCCCAUAAAGCCAUUCUCAGUUCGGAUUGCAGGCUGCAACUCGCCUGCAUGAAGCCGGAAUCGUUAGUAAUCGCGGAUCAGCAUGCCGCGGUGAAUACGUUCCCGGGCCUUGUACACACCGCCCGUCACACCACGAGAGUUUGUAACACCCGAAGUCGGUGAGGUAACCUUUAUGGAGCCAGCCGCCUAACGGUGGGACAGAUGAUUGGGGCAAGUCGAACAGUCAGAGCC